rnacentral:rRNA from 1 species
CCUACGGGAGGCAGCAGUGGGGAAUAUUGCACAAUGGGGGAAACCCUGAUGCAGCGACGCCGCGUGAGUGAAGAAGUAUUUCGGUAUGUAAAGCUCUAUCAGCAGGGAAGAAAUAGCGACCUUUGGGUCGCCAGACGGUACCUGCCUAAGACGCCCCGGCUAACUACGUGCCAGCAGCCGCGGUAAUACGUAGGGGGCAAGCGUUAUCCGGAUUUACUGGGGGUAAAGGGAGCGUAGACGGCAGCACAAGUCUGAAGUGAAAUGCCGGGGCUUAACCCCGGAACUGCUUUGGAAACUGUGGACCUAGAGUGCAGGAGAGGUAAGUGGAAUUCCUAGUGUAGCGGUGAAAUGCGUAGAUAUUAGGAGGAACACCAGUGGCGAAGGCGGCUUACUGGACUGUAACUGACGUUGAGGCUCGAAAGCGUGGGGAGCAAACAGGAUUAGAUACCCUGGUAGUC